UGUUCAGUGCCCUGUUACUAAUGUUUUUAACGGGUUGGUUUCUACAUGUUUAAACUGUCCAGCAGUUGGAUUUUACCUCUUGAUAGUUCCGUUUGUCCCUGGUGCUGCUUUUAAAGGUAUAGGGCCCUGUGAAGUGUCCAGUGGAGUAGGUACGCAGUUGGCCUGGUAAUGGAAAAGCUGCUUUGGAAUAGAUGUUUACUUGGGUUCCUGUGCAGAACUGGGCAGCAAUCCUGGAAAGCUCUGUAAAGCCCGUAAGGAAGGAUUUGAAGAGGGCUGCCCUUAAGUCUUUGAACAUGAAGCACUUGUGUGCAUGCUGUCAAAAGACUGCAGUGAUUGUCAUCCCAGGCUUCCUGACCUCCAGGAAACACUUUGGAAAGGCGACAGAGGAGCACCAAGGGAAGGGAAUUUGCUUGGCUUGUUUUGUCUGCUUUCUCAUUUCCUUACCAUUUAAACCUGAACGAAACACCCUUCUCCGGUAUCUGAUCCAGCAAACUCUUGGUUGGGAAGCCCUGUGUUGAAUUUUGAGAAUGUACCCGACUUUUUGUACAGUGCUUUACACCUGCUAAAACUUAACUUGUUAAUGCAGAAGAAGACCUUGAAAGGUCAGUCAUCAAAUCUGGUUUGAUUAUUAAUAGCUAUCUUUUAGGAAGAAGCUUUUUCCCUCUAUGUAUGAUGUCAUACUGCAGACUUAAAAUAUAGACUAUCAAUAAAAUGCAUGAAGUAAU
rnacentral:lncRNA from 1 species